rnacentral:tRNA from 1 species
GGGAUAUAGGCUCAGUGGUAGAGUGCUUGCCUCACAUGCAUGAGGCCUGGGGUUCAAUUCCUCAGAACCUCA